rnacentral:rRNA from 1 species
CCUACGGGAGGCAGCAGUGGGGAAUAUUGCACAAUGGGGGAAACCCUGAUGCAGCAACGCCGCGUGGGUGAAGGAGCGUUUCGGCGCGUAAAGCCCUGUCAGCGGGGAAGAAGAAAGACGGUACCCGACCAUGAAGCCCCGGCUAACUACGUGCCAGCAGCCGCGGGUAUACGUAGGGGGCGAGCGUUAUCCGGAAUUACUGGGUGUAAAGGGAGCGGAGACGGCGGGGUAAGCGUGAAGUGGAAGUCCUCGGCCCAAACGCGGAACUGCUUUGGGAACUGUUGUGCGGGAGUAUGGGAGGGGUAAGCGGAAGUCCAGGUGUAGCGGUGAAAUGCGUAGAUAUAAGGAGGAACACCAGUGGCGAAGGCGGCUUACUGGACCAUAACUGACGUUGAGGCUCGAAAGCGUGGGGAGCGAACAGGAUUAGAUACCCUAGUAGUC